UGUUCUAUUUUCCUGUAACGUACUGUGUACAUUAAUUUAACCUCCCAUCUACUUACUGCAGGGCAGGAUGCCACCCUCCCAGCCACCACCUGACCACAUGAAUCCAAGCAGACUUUGCAGUCUGUACUAUUUCUAUUGCCUCCUAGAACAGAAUCUUGGUUGAUUCUACAAUAUAAACCCAAAAACAGCACAUGAAAGAGGACUUCUACACCUACUCUCACCCUUGCUGCCUCACUUGGCCCUGUUUCUUUGAAUAAGGCAGUCUGUUUCCUCUGCAUAUGGCUAUUUCCUACUCUGCUGCUUCCCAUAUGGUCUGGGAGCCUUCACAGAUCUGCACUUCCCACUAAAGACAAUUGCAGAGAAGAGCCGAUCAGAGCACAGCUUAAAAUUGGAACUGUGGCAAACCUUGAUUCAACCUUUAUCUUCAUUGGUGAUAUCACACAAGCAUCUCAUGCACACAUUACUGGAAGAUAACAGGGUACAUACACCAUCCAAAGAGCUAUGAACAAGGUCAUCAUAUGUUGAAGACCUGCAGUAGACAGACACCUCUCCUGUCUUGCCAGAAGAGUAAUGUGCCACCACGUCAGCAAUAAAACACACAACGGAACUCACUAGCAGCAGGCUCACCUGAGGCUCAACAUUUCUUCCUGUCUUCAGUGUCAAAGGUGACUGUAGAUCUAAGAGACUAUCAUGUAUUCUUGCUUCUGGAUAAGGUUUUGUAAUUUAUUUCCCACCAGCAGUUUGGUACCAACAGAAUUUCUGAAGCACGCACCUUCCUA
rnacentral:lncRNA from 1 species